rnacentral:lncRNA from 1 species
GGUGCAGGACUUUGAGCUGGGAGGGCACAGAGUGAAUACUGGCCCUGCUCGUGACCCUGACGGCCACGACCGGAAGAAGCUCCGCUAUACUCUAGGCGGCAUGACAGAGGAGGUCCAAAAGGACGACCUCUACCCCGAUGAAACUGGCCUCUAGAUGGAACGCCACCAUAACUGCCCGAACCUCGAGGCUGCUUAGCCUCCCUCUCCUCUCGCUCCAAACGGCGAGCCGUCUCAUUAUCGCGUGC